rnacentral:rRNA from 1 species
GACGAACGCUGGCGGCGUGCUUAACACAUGCAAGUCGAACGGAGAAUUUUAUUUCGGUGAAAUUCUUAGUGGCGAACGGGUGAGUAACGCGUAGACAACCUACCUCUCAGAUGGGGACAACAUCGCGAAAGCGGUGCUAAUACCGAAUGAUGUAACUUUUCUGCAUGGAAGAGUUACCAAAGGCGGCCUCUAUUUAUAAGCUGUCACUGAGAGAUGGGUCUGCGUCUGAUUAGCUAGUUGGCGGGGUAAUGGCCCACCAAGGCGACGAUCAGUAGCCGGUCUGAGAGGAUGAACGGCCACAUUGGGACUGAGACACGGCCCAAACUCCUACGGGAGGCAGCAGUGGGGAAUCUUCCGCAAUGGACGAAAGUCUGACGGAGCAACGCCGCGUGAGUGAAGAAGGUUUUCGGAUCGUAAAGCUCUGUUGUUUGAGACGAAUGUGCAAUUUUUGAAUAAGGAAUUGUAAUGACGGUAUUAAACGAGAAAGCCACGGCUAACUACGUGCCAGCCGCCGCCGUAACAC